rnacentral:rRNA from 1 species
CAAGGUGAUGAAGAUGACUACGAAGUCGUCCAUGGGGGCCGGGCAAGAAAUGAGGAAGGGCAGCAAGACAACCACCGCGACUCGGGGGGGCGAGAAGACGAAGAAUCCCCAGGAGAUGAUCACGACGGUGAUGCUGUACACAGUCAUCAUGUAGAAGAUGCAGGACAUGAUGAUGAUGCCGGCGGAGCAGACGACGCUGGACCAUCGAUGGGCUGGGUGCAGGACCCUCAUAUUCAAGAGCUGCUUCUCAAGCAGACGGAUAACGCAAGAGCUGCCGCCCGAGAGAAAGCCAAGAUGGAUCAACUUGAGUUAGACGCGGUUACUCCAUUGUAUGAAGGAUGCAGGCUCGAGGAUACCCGCCUGAAAGUAACGCUCAUGGCU